UCUUCCGCAAUGGACGAAAGUCUGACGGAGCAACGCCGCGUGAGUGAUGAAGGGUUUCGGAUCGUAAAGCUCUUUUGUUAGGGAAGAACCAGUGCCGGUCAAAAAGGGCUGCACCUUGACGGUACCUAACCAGAAAGCCACGGCUAACUACGUGCCAGCAGCCGCGGUAAUACGUAGGUGGCAAGCGUUGUCCGGAAUUAUUGGGCGUAAAGGGCUCGCAGGCGGUUUCUUAAGUCUGAUGUGAAAGCCCCCGGCUCAACCGGAGAGGGUCAUUGGAAACUGGGGAACUUGAGUGCAGAAGAGGAGAGUGGAAUUCCACGUGUAGCGGUGAAAUGCGUAGAGAUGUGGAAGAACACCAGUGGCGAAGGCGACUCUCUGGUCUGUAACUGACGCUGAGGAGCGAAAGCGUGGGGAGCGAACAG
rnacentral:rRNA from 1 species